UACAGAGACUGCAAGCGUUAUUCGGAUUCACUGGGCGUAAAGGGUGUGCAGGCGGUUUUGUGUGUCUGACGUGAAAUCCCGAGGCUUAACCUCGGAACUGCGUCUGAAACUACUCGACUAGAGUACUGGAGAGGGAAACGGAAUUCACGGUGUAGCAGUGAAAUGCGUAGAUAUCGUGAGGAACACCAGAGGCGAAGGCGGUUUCCUGGACAGUUACUGACGCUCAGGCACGAAAGCAUGGGGAGCAAAAGGG
rnacentral:rRNA from 1 species